rnacentral:rRNA from 1 species
GACGAACGCUGGCGGCGUGCUUAACACAUGCAAGUCGAACGGAAGGCCCUGCUUUUGUGGGGUGCUCGAGUGGCGAACGGGUGAGUAACACGUGAGUAACCUGCCCUUGACUUUGGGAUAACUUCAGGAAACUGGGGCUAAUACCGGAUAGGAGCUCCUGCUGCAUGGUGGGGGUUGGAAAGUUUCGGCGGUUGGGGAUGGACUCGCGGCUUAUCAGCUUGUUGGUGGGGUAGUGGCUUACCAAGGCUUUGACGGGUAGCCGGCCUGAGAGGGUGACCGGCCACAUUGGGACUGAGAUACGGACCAGACUCCUACGGGAGGCAGCAGUGGGGAAUAUUGCACAAUGGGCGGAAGCCUGAUGCAGCAACGCCGCGUGCGGGAUGACGGCCUUCGGGUUGUAAACCGCUUUCGCCUGUGACGAAGCGUGAGUGACGGUAAUGGGUAAAGAAGCACCGGCUAACUACGUG